rnacentral:rRNA from 1 species
ACGUACACUCCUGCGGGAGGCAGCAGUGGGGAAUAUUGCACAAUGGGCGCAAGCCUGAUGCAGCCAUGCCGCGUGUAUGAAGAAGGCCUUCGGGUUGUAAAGUACUUUCAGCGGGGAGGAAGGCGAUAAGGUUAAUAACCUUGUCGAUUGACGUUACCCGCAGAAGAAGCACCGGCUAACUCCGUGCCAGCAGCCGCGGUAAUACGGAGGGUGCAAGCGUUAAUCGGAAUUACUGGGCGUAAAGCGCACGCAGGCGGUCUGUCAAGUCGGAUGUGAAAUCCCCGGGCUCAACCUGGGAACUGCAUUCGAAACUGGCAGGCUAGAGUCUUGUAGAGGGGGGUAGAAUUCCAGGUGUAGCGGUGAAAUGCGUAGAGAUCUGGAGGAAUACCGGUGGCGAAGGCGGCCCCCUGGACAAAGACUGACGCUCAGGUGCGAAAGCGUGGGGAGCAAACAGGAUCAGAAACCCCUGUAGUCCCAUG